GUAGUAACCUCAGGCAACCCCGGUUGUACAACCCAUGUGAUACCACUGUAUGUAAAAUUUCUUGCUUAGGCACCUCCAAUUCCUAUGUUCCCCCUCCCCUAGGCCGCCUAUAAAAGGAGGGAAGAUAGUGCAGAUCCCAGAAGGAGGCCAGCAGUAGUGAUUCCCAGAGCUCCGUCUCAGUUCUGCCUACACUUCUCUGCCUGCCCAGCAUCAUGAAGUUCCUUGAAGCUACCAUCCUGGUCAUCCUCUGCACCGGGGUCCUCUGCUUCCUUGAGGAAGGCUUGCCGGAGCUCCUGAGCAACUAACUCAUUGUUGUCUUUACAGAAACCACCUGCUGCAUGUCCUACGUGUCCCGGAAGAUCCCCCAAAAAUUUGUGGUUGCCUAUUUUGAGACCAGCAGCAAGUGCCUCCAACAUGGUGUUGUCUUUCUCACCAAAAGGGGCCUGCAUAUCUGUGCCAAUCCCAGCGAUGCCUGGGUUCAGGAAUACAUCAACACCAUGCAGGAGGUCCCCGAGAGGGCCACUUUUCCAGUGGACAGCAGGA